GUCCCCGUAGUGUAGUGGAUAUCACGCUGGCUUGCGGAGCCUGUAACCCGAGUUCAAUUCUCGGCGGGGACG
rnacentral:tRNA from 1 species